CCAGCUGGCCGGGUGAUUGCUGUUGCGAUUUUCGAAAGAAAGCAAUGGAGGAAAGUCCGGGCUCCAUGGAAACACGAUGCCGGGUAACGCCCGGCUGGGGAGGCAUUCGCCAACUCAAGGGAAAGUGCCGCAGAAAAUAUACCGCCAUGGGAACGGUAACCCGUUCAAAUGGUAAGGGUGAAAUGGUGGGGUAAGAGCCCACCGCACGCGCCAGCAAUGGCCGUGGCAAGGUAAACCCCAUCGGGAGCAAUACCGAAUAGGGAUAGCGUAGGGCAGCAAUGUCCUUGUUGGUUUCCAGACCAGCUAUCCGGGUAGGUAGCGUGAGGUGACUGGUAACAGUCAUCCCAGAUGAAUAAUCACCGCGUCUGAAUUGGGCUUGCCCGGUUCAGGCCGUACAGAACCCGGCUUACAGGCCGGCUGGCAUC
rnacentral:RNase_P_RNA from 1 species